AAGCUACAUUGAACCAUGGAUCAAAUUCAGGCCGCAAAGUCCAAUCGAGAGUCCAGCACUCGCCGAGUAUCAAAGGGGCCUAAAAACAGUAAGGCCCUUAUAAGAAUUUAGAUCAAACUAGGAGGGAAAGACAAAGGAAGGCGGUAAGGCGGCAAAAGUAGCAAAUUCUCGAAUACUUGUAUAUCAAUAUAUCUUCUUUCUCAAACUGCAACUGUCCGAUGCUUCUCUUGCUUCCUCAGCUUAUCUUUUCGUCAUUCUACAAAUUCAAAAAAAGCUAAUUGUUCCGACUUUCGAUUAGUAGCGAUCUGGAGAUUUUAUAUUAUGGAGGAAGAUAAAGGAUUUUAAGGCUUCGAUUCAUUCAUUCUUUCUUUUGACGAAAUCUAUUGAAUCUGCAAUUAAGUGAAUAUGAUAUUCAAUAUUGGAUAGAUAGAUCUAAGUUAUUUCAAUCCCUGGAGACUUUAUUCUCGACGAAGAACGUGGAAUUUCUCGGAUGAUCGAAUCAAAGUUUAUUUAUGGUUGUUUGUAAGGUAAAUGUUAUCAUUAAAUCUCCGGAAUAUGUGUAAUGUGAUUUGAAUUGACACAUUGGAUCAUCAUGCAAGCGGAAUGUCUGUUUUUGAUUGCCAUUAGAAGUAGAAAUACAUAAGUAACCAGGAUGAUGGUCUCUUUUUUUUUUUU